UACGUAGGAGGCAAGCGUUGUCCGGAAUUACUGGGCGUAAAGCGCGUGUAGGCGGUCUGAAUAGUCUGCUGUGAAAGCGCCUGGCUUAACCGGGCGAGGUCGGCGGAAACUCUCAGACUGGAGGCCGGUAGAGGGGGGUGGAAUUCCCGGUGUAGUGGUGAAAUGCGUAGAGAUCGGGAGGAACACCUGUGGCGAAGGCGGCCCCCUGGGCCGCGCCUGACGCUGAUACGCGAAGGCUAGGGGAGCGAACGGG
rnacentral:rRNA from 1 species